rnacentral:tRNA from 1 species
GGAGAAUAGCUCAGUGGUAGAGCGCAUGCUUAGCAUGCACUUAGUCCUGGGUUCAAUCCCCAGUACCUCCA